AUUUUAUACUUAUUGGAUGGGAGUGAAAUUGUUUCAUUUUGGCUUUAUUAACCAUUUAUGAGAUUGCAAAUGAGGUUGACUUUUUUUUACAUGUUUACUGACUGCUUGUAUUUAACCCAUCCACAAAUUAACAGAUUUUUAUUCUUUUGCCCAUUUUUUCUAUAGAAUUGUGCUUUUCUUAUUCAUUGGUAGGAGUUUCUUUGUGUAAUCUAGAUAUCAACAUUUGUUGAUUAUCAUUGUUAGACAUAUACCUUUCCAGUCUAUGGGUAAACUUUUCACUUUAAUUAAAAUUGUAGUAAAAUACACAUAAUAUAAAAAUUAGUCUUAACCAUUUUAAAGCACACAGUUCAGUAGUGUUAAAUAUAUUCACAUCUCCAGAGGUUUUUCAUCUUGCAAAACUGAAACUCUAUACCCCAUUAAACAACUCCUAUUUCCCAUCACCCCCAGUCACUGGCAAAUAACAUUCUACUUUCUAUUUCUUUGAAUUUGACUACUCUAGAUAACUUGUGUAAGUGAAUCAUACAGUAUUGUGUUUUUGUGACUUGCUUAUUUUACUUAGUAUAAUUUCCUUAAGGUUGAAUUCAUGUGGCAACAUGUGUCAGAACUUCCUUUUUAUUAAGUGAAUACCAUUCCAUUGUAUGUAUAUACUACAUUUUUUGAAAUGCAUCUAUAUGUUGAUAGAAACUUGGGUUGCUUCCACGACUUGACCAUUUGUUAAUACUGCUGCUAUAAAUGUAGGUCGCAAAUAAUAUUUCCUUGAAACCUUGCUUUAAGUUGUUUUGGCUAUAAACCCAGAACUGGAAUUUCUAGAUCAUAUGUUAAUUCUAUUUUUUAUUUUCUGACAAAAUGCCAUACUGUUUUCCAUACUGGCUGCACAAUUUUACAUUCCCACAAAGAGUACACAGUUUUCAACUUCUCCAUAUCCUUGUCAACAUUUAUUAUUUUCUGUUUUUUUGAUAGCAGCCAUCCUAAUAGGUGUAAGGUUUCUUCUUGUGCUUAAUGGGUAUAAGGUUUCUUCUUGUGCUUAAUGAGUGUAAGGUUUCUUCUUGUGCUUUUGACUAUAUCAUUUUUAAACUGGGUUAUUUGUAGUUUUAUUGUUCAACUCUAAGAGUUCUUAUACAUUCUGAAUAAUAAGCUCUUAACAGAUAUAUAAUGUGCAAUAUUUUCUCCCUUUCCAUAGGUUGCCUUUGCCUUUCACUCUGUUGAUUGUGUCUUUUGAUGCACAGAAGUUUAAAAUUUUGAUGUAGUCCAAUAUAUCUAUUUUUACUUGUUGCCUAUAUUUCUGAUUUUAGAAAGAAAUCAUUGCCAAAUCCAAAUCCAAUGUCAUCAAUGUCAUGAAGCUUUUUUUUUUUUUUUUUUUUUGUAAGAUGGAGUUUCACUUUUUUUGUCCAGGCUGGAGUACAAUGGCACAAUCUCUGCUCACUGCAACCUCCGCCUCCCAGGUUCAAGCAAUUCCCCUACCUCAGCCUCCUGAGUAGCUGGGAUUACAGCAAUAUGCCAACAUGCCCGGCUAAUUUUGCAUUUUUA
rnacentral:lncRNA from 1 species